rnacentral:rRNA from 1 species
CAGUCGCCGCGGUAAUACGAAGGGGGCUAGCGUUGUUCGGAAUUACUGGGCGUAAAGCGCACGUAGGCGGAUACUUAAGUCAGGGGUGAAAUCCCGGGGCUCAACCCCGGAACUGCCUUUGAUACUGGGUAUCUCGAGUCCGGAAGAGGUGAGUGGAAUUCCGAGUGUAGAGGUGAAAUUCGUAGAUAUUCGGAGGAACACCAGUGGCGAAGGCGGCUCACUGGUCCGAUACUGACGCUGAGGUGCGAAAGCGUGGGGAGCAAACAGGAUUAGAUACCCGAGUAGUCCCUGUCUCUUAUAA